rnacentral:rRNA from 1 species
UACGGAGGGGUGCAAGCGUUAAUCGGAAUUACUGGGCGUAAAGCGUGCGUAGGCGGUUCGUUAAGUCUGUUGUGAAAGCCCCGGGCUCAACCUGGGAAUGGCAAUGGAUACUGGCGAGCUAGAGUGUGUCAGAGGAUGGUGGAAUUCCCGGUGUAGCGGUGAAAUGCGUAGAGAUCGGGAGGAACAUCAGUGGCGAAGGCGGCCAUCUGGGACAACACUGACGCUGAGGCACGAAAGCGUGGGGAGCAAACAGG